AACGAACGCUGGCGGCAGGUCUUAGGCAUGCAAGUCGAACGGGUGUAGUAAUACACCAGUGGCGAACGAGUGAGUAACGCGUGGGAAUCUGCCCAUCUCUGGGGAAUAACGUUUGGAAACGAACGCUAAUACCGCAUACGCCCGCAAGGGGAAAGAUUUAUCGGAGAUGGAUGAGCCCGCGUUGGAAUAGUUAGUUGGUGGGGUAACGGCCGACCAAGGCGAUGAUCCAUAGCUGGUCUGAGAGGCCGGUCAGCCACGCUGGAACUGAGAUACGGUCCAGGCUCAUACGGGAGGCAGCAGCUAAGAAUAUUGGGCAAUGGAGGAAACUUUGACCCAGACAUGCCGCGUGAAUGAAGAAGGCCUUCGGGUUGUAAAGUUCUUUUAGUCGUGACGAUGAUGACGGUAGCGACAGAAAAAGCGCCGGCUAACUUCGUGCCAGCCGCCGCAGUAA
rnacentral:rRNA from 1 species